rnacentral:rRNA from 1 species
UUUAAAUGUAAAAUUUAAAUAUCAAAGUAGUAUUAGUUAUGAUCUUGAAAUUUAAAGAUUUUGGCGGUAUUUUAGUCUAUUUAGAGGAACCUGUUCUAUAAUUGAUAGUCCACGAGAAAUUAUACUUGGUUAAAUUAGUUUGUAUAUCGUCGUUAUUAAAUAUUUUAAAAGAAAUUAAAUGUUUAAGAUUUUUUAUAAAAAAAUAUUUCAGAUCAAGGUGCAGUUUAUAAUUAAGUAGAAAUGGGUUACAAUAAAAAUAUUUAGAUGGAUUUAUUUAUGAAAAUAAUAAUGAAGGUGGAUUUAAUAGUAAUAAAAUUAAAAUAAAUUUUAUGAUUAAAGCUCUAAAAUGUGU